rnacentral:rRNA from 1 species
AAUCAACGCUGGCGGCGUGCCUCAGACAUGCAAGUCGAACGAUUAAAGCUCUCUUCGGAGAGUGUAUAGAGUGGCGCACGGGUGAGUAACACGUAAGUAAUCUACCCUCGAGUGGGGAAUAACAACCGGAAACGGUUGCUAAUACCGCAUAAUGCAGCGGCACCGCAAGGUGACAGUUGUUAAAGAUUUAUCGCUUGAGGAGGAGCUUGCGGCAGAUUAGCUAGUUGGUAGGGUAACGGCUUACCAAGGCUAUGAUCUGUAACCGGUCUAAGAGGACGGUCGGUCACACUGACACUGAAUAACGGGUCAGACUCCUACGGGAGGCAGCAGUCGGGAAUUUUGGGCAAUGGGCGAAAGCCUGACCCAGCAACGCCGCGUGAAGGAUGAAGUAUUUCGGUAUGUAAACUUCGAAAGAAUAGGAAGAAUUAAUGACGGUACUAUUUAUAAGGUCCGGCUAACUACGUG